AUUUUUAGCUCAUCAGCUAUCAUUAGUGUUAGUGUAUUUUAUGUGUGGUCCAAGACAAUUUUUCUUCUUCCAGCGUGGCCCAGGGAAGACAAAAGAUGAGACACCCCUGCUUUGAAACAACCUCAUGAGGUGUGAGGUCCAGACAGGGGACUUCAUCUCUCUGAGCUGCCAUCUUCUCUCUAUAAAGUUAAGUCAACCAUAGAAUGCCCCUCCCAGAGGUGUGGGGAGGAUUCGAUGAGACAAUCCACAGGGCUGGCUAUCACGACUUCAUCCCCCUUUAUUUUAUGUGACACCUCUCUAAGCCUCAGUUUCCCCAUCUGUUAAAUGUGGUGGACGACCUCUACUCUGCCUCCCCCCCAGGGCUGGCAUGAGUUUCCACAGGGAGGAGGCUGAGAGGCCCCCUUUGUGGGAGUGGCAGCAUUUGGUUACUGCAGUUCAUGUUUCCAGCAGGAGCCUCAAAGUGUCUAAACACAGACUAUUUUUAGCACCAGAAUGAGGCUCUGGUGUUGAGCUGCCAACUUGAAGAUGGGUGGGGAAGAGCUGCCUGCAGGGGAAAGAAAAACAGAGGCAUAGCCUGCCCUGUGGUUCCUUACCUCCCCUGGGAGUAAAAUUAUGCCUCCCCCUUCCAGGUUCUAUUGGCUAGGGUAGGCCAGAAUGGAAGCCUGUGAGGCUGGGUAGGGGGCUGACUCCCUCUCUGUAAUCCCCAGCACCUGACUUGGGGGGCAGAGGCAGUUCGGAGGGACUGGGCAGGCCCAGCGACCAACUGACCCCCAGACCACCCAAGCUUCACCGAGAAAUAGCUAUUGAGAAAUCAGGUUCAUGAAGGUUUGAUUUCUUAAGAGUUCUGGGUAGGAGACCCAUCUGGGAAGUUUCCAAGAAACUGGGGAGCCCAGGUAAAAUUUCAGUCUUGUUCUAAUAAUAAAAAUAUCAGAAGUCACUGGUGUUUGUUGAGCGCAUACUAUAUGCCAGUCAUCUUAUUCCCAUUGUGCCUUUUAAUCCCCACUAUCAUUCUUUGAGGUGGUCAUUAACUUCUUUGAACAUCAGUUUCCCCAUCUAUAGAGUGAUGAUGUAAUAUAAUUUAUCUCUUAGGGUUAGCGUGAGAACUAAAUAAGUCAAUAUAUACAAAUAUAUCAUAUCUAUAUGUAUUAGGUGCAAAUGCUACAUCUUAUAAUAAUUUCUGGAGAAUACAUGUGGUUUUGCCUGUUCAGUGCCCCUUCAUUCUGAUACAAGGACUCUAUUUUCCUUCACGGAAUUUCUCCCUCAUUAAUUCUCAGCUCAUGUGGCUUGGAUAGAAUGGAUUCCUCUUGCCAGUUGCUGCAGACAUUCCUAUACCUCCCUCCUGAUGCAUGUAUAUAAUAAUUAAUGUAGAGUGCAUGUAUACCUAGGAGUGAAAGCGCUAGUUUUUGUCUGUUUGUUUUUGUUUUUGUAUGAGCAUCUUAUGAUUAUCCUAAAAGAUGCCAGUUUUUUUCCAAGGUUGCUGUAGUCACAACUUCCCCAGUACAGUUUGAGCAUUCCUGCUGCUCCAAAUCCACACCAACACUUAAUGUUGUCAGUCCUUUCCUUUUUGGUCAGUUUGGUAGAUCUGUAACAGAUGCCAUAUGUGCCCCACCCACAGAGUUAAAUUCUGAAUGUUCAUCUGGUUGUCUGAGGGGUUUCUCCAGCACCUUGAAUGCUUUUUGUGCUUGUGUGGUUGGCAGGCAAGACAUGCUAGAAUAUUAACAUUUGGAAGCAGCUGCAAAUAUGACUGAUGGGAGUUGGUGUAUAAAUGCCCCAGCUCCCUUGCUCCUCAGCUGGAAUAACUCUGCAGUGUGUAUUUCUCCAGUGGGACUUAGCCUCAACCACCCUCUGUAACAGAUGACUCAAUAAUACACCCUUUAUUGAUUUCUUCCCUUCCCUGUCUCACUUCCCCGCUCAGGGAAGGACAGGAGUAAGUAUACUCUUUAUUUCCUAAAUGAACUACUUAUCAGUGGUAUUCAUUUCUUGGAAUAGUUGAUUCCUUAGAAUAGGAAUCAAUAUGGUUGAUUCAUAUCAUAUCAAUGGUUUUUCAACCUUUUCCUUAUCAUAGACAUGUAAAAUAUUUCCAGUCUUCCCUCUUUUAUAAAUAAGUAACGCUAUGAUAAACAUCCUGUAUGUAAAUCUUUAUACAGAUCCCCGGAAAGCAAUAUAGGACCUUUCAACAAUGAUGAGACAUCGGCAUAUUAUACCCACUUUACAGAUGAGAAAGCUAAAGUUCACAGAGAUUAAGUAACUUGCCCAGACACACAAAAAGUGGAGCAUGAAUUCAAGUGCAAAACUGAGCCUCAGUGUCAUGAUGCCAUGGCGGACACUAUGCAGACCAGCAAGGCAGCUAUUCCCUGUCUUAACCACUAAUCCCUCAGUUGAAUCCAAGCCUUGAUGAAAGGAACCUUUCUGAGCCUGAAGAUAUGGAUGGCCAUGCCUCGAACACUUCUCAGGGUCAGGGUGGGCCACUAUGGACAGGAAUGGCCACGGAGAGGAAACGUGGAAAGGGGUCAGGGCCAGAGUCACACACUCCUGCAUCUGAACCUGCCUCAGGGCGGUGGUGGCUGUGUGAUCUUCAGCAAGGGGCCUCUCUGUGACUCAGUUUUCUCACCUGCAAAAUAGAGCCAAUCCACCCUGCCUCAUUGGAAAGCAAGUGACAGAGCUACAAGAAAGCCUGGAGAUCCAACACCUAGCGAAACAGCCUUCCUUUACAUAAGGGGAAACUGAGGCUUGGAGAAACUUGAAUGAAAUAACCUCUGUCCAUAUAAAAUGUCUCGCAUAGACCUGGACCCAAGUAAGUGCUCAAUACUUUUUAGCUAUUACCAAGAUUAUGAUUAUGAUACCAUAGAAUCCUAGAGUUCAAAGGGCCCUUAGACACCAGCUAGUUCAAGUCUGAUGUUUUACAGAUGAGGAACCCGGGGGCUCAGAGAGGCUGGAGGAGUGGUCCAGAGUCACACAGCCAGGCCAGGGCUGAGCUGGUUCCUGCCCUGCAGGUUUCUUCCCAGAGCACACGCUGCUCCCUGGCAGCCCCCAUUGCUCCCAGCCGCAAACACGAGCAAAUUGCCAUUUGCUGGUUCCACACUGACCACGGUGGAUUGAACUCUAAUUUAGGAACGGUGACAGCACCUAUUAGCAACCCUUCCCCAAAGAGGAACUUUCCACCAGGAGUGAAAAAUAACUGCCAUCCCCACCCCCAAAUCACCCAAGCCCAAUCUUUCUGUCCAAGGCAGUGUGUGUGUGUUUGGGGGGUGGUGGUGGAGAGGUGGUCUCUGUGCUCCCCAGCCCACCUCUACAGGUUCAAAUUCUCUUCCCCUGUCCCGGAGAACCUUGUGCCCUUGGAGGGGUUGCCAGCACCUACUGCCAGCUCUGAGCAGGACUGAGAGGUGGGCUCACAGCCAUCAAAGCAGGAGGGAGGACUGUUCAUAACCUCCAGGUCAGCUUCCUCACAGACAUAUGGGGUAACUGAGGCCUAAAGGGGAGGUGGAGGGUGACUCUACCCAGACCCAGUUUUCCUGCAUCCCAGCCUUCAGCCUUGGCACCCUCCUGAGAAAGAAGAAAAAUGGAUAAACACCUUUUGUUGCACAAUUACUAUGUGCCAGGCCCUUCCAUGUACCCUGUGCCAUUGCCUCUCCCCAGGGGCUCUGCUUGGUAGGUUGGGUUUAAUCUCACUUUACAGAUGAGACAACCAAGGCCUGGAGAGGUCAGUCAACUUGCCAAAGGGCAGAGCUGGUGAGUGGCAGAACAAGACUCAACCCAGGCCUGUCUGACUCCAGACCCUUAAUCCUAACCUCUAUGUGACAUUGUUUUCUGUGGAAGUGCCACCCUCUGACCUCUGACCUCGGGGCCUCCUCUCUGUGGGGCAAGUGGAGUGAUUUGGAGGCUUUCUGUACAAGACAGCCUUUCUCCUCUGAAUGCUCAGAGCCCGCUCAGAAGGCACAGGGGUUCCCAAGCCUUUAGUGGCCCAAGGAGUUCUGCUGGCAUCCAACAGAGAGAUGUCCCUUCAUAUGCAAGCAACAAGUGCCAGAAACUGACUGACCAUUCUAUCCAUGAAGACAUCACUUGGACACCAUCGUACCACAGAGAAGGUGCCAGGAGGCCACACAGAGGUGCAGAGAUUCAUGCAUGCUGAACAUGUGCACAGCCCCAUGGCUGUCAUCCCCCUCACCCCCAGCACAUACACAGAGUUAACCAGCCCUAUCAGGCCAUACCCAUUUAUAACACAUGGCAGGAAUCCUUAUUCCCACUUCAUGAGUGAGAAACAGCAGACACCAUGGGACCUGCCUGAGAUACAUGGUUAGUCUUGGAGCUAAAACUAGAAACUGGAUCUUCUCAUUUUGACCAAAGGUGGUUUCUUCAUCCCCUGGAAUUGUCAAAAGAAUAAAGAAGCACCUGUCUUGAAAAGUCACGACCAGAGUUUCUCAUCAUCAGUGACACUGGCACUUUGGACUGGAUAAUUUGUUGAGGAGAGCUGUUCUGUGCAUUGUAGGGUGGUUGAUAGCAUCCCUGGCCUGCACCUAAUGGAAGAGAGAACCAGAACACUGCCUGUGGACCCAUCUGAAUCCAGGCUUACAAAGUUUUGGUGCCAGAUUCUAGAGCUCCUUUCUAAGAUUUUUAUCCUAGCUCUCCAUCAUAAGAUCCUAUUGUGAGGUUCCACGCUAGGAUCCCCAACUUCUAGCACUCUAUGCUGGGAUACUAGGGUCCGUUCUGUGCAAGGAAAAAAAAAAACUAUAUUAAAAGGAGGAAAAAGUUAUGCUGGAAGCUAAGUCAGGCAAGAAACUGCCUCUCCUUUUGUUCUUAAGCAGAUAGCUACAGAUAAAAGGUGAAAUAUCUCCACAGGUAGCUACUUGAUGUUCACCUUAUCUUAUGUAAAGUGCUGAUUUACUGAGAGGGAAACAAAUAACGUAAUUGACUACUCCUCUACCUGCUCCUUUUCUCUUGCAACCUGUGGGUUUAGUAACGUGACCAUACCUUCUUUCCCCUCCAGCUUGCUUUUCUCCUUUAAAUACUGAAGCCCUCAAAGUCAUCUCUGGAGAAAUGCACAGACCUCUCUCCUGGGCAUAUCCUUAACCUUGGCAAAAUGAACUUCUAAACUGAUUGAGACCUGUCUCAGAUAGUUUUUGGUUUAGUUUCAAUGUUGGUGGGCUCUCCAAUUGUGAAAUUUUUUUCUAAGCUCCUAAGAUCUCAUCUCCCAUGUCAAAGUUGAAAUUCUCUCCGGGAGACAGUCAUGCCUCGCUGCCUUCCAGUGACCAGGAUGAAAGAUGCACCCAUGAAUUAUAUAUUUCAAGUCAUCUCUAAAUUGCCUGGCAAUUACAGAACAGCAAGGUCAGCUGCCGGGAGCAAGAAUCUCCCUUUUGGCAGAGAAAAACAGAUGGAUGGAAACACAACGAUAUACAGAAAGAUGUUACCUCUUGGAGGGGGGGUGUUUUUCAGAUGCUGGUCACCAUAGAUGCUGGUCACCACCAUGCCCUUUCAUAAGUGUCCUUACAAAAGGAGGAAAUCAGGACAGAUACAUCCAGAGGGAAGACGCUAUGAAGACACAGAGAAGAGGGCCAUCUAUGCCAAGGAGAGGGGUAGGAAGCAAAUUCUUCCCACACACACCUCGGAGGAACCAACCCUGCUGACACCUUAAUUUUGGACUUCCAGCUUCCAGAACUGUGAGAUAAUAAAUUUUAGUUGUUUAAGCUACUCAGCAUGUGGUGUUUUGUUACAGCAACCCUAGCAAACUGAUACACCAGUGCUCUGCAUAGGACCUCAACAUUUCCUUUUCCUUUUUUUUUAAUGAGAGAGAAUUCAUAUGUGGCAUGGUAAAAACAAGUGCGCAGGAAUUUCACAUAUGUACACACCCAGGUGACCCACCCAGAUCAAGACUCUGAACAUUCCCCUGGCUCCUAGAGGCUCUCCACUGUCCCCUCUCAGCGAAUCACCCUCCCCAGGGGCCAUCACUUUUCUAACUUCUAUCACCAUAGGUUAGCUUUGUACAUUCUUGAGCCUCUUAUUAUUAUUUUAGAAAUGGGGCCUCACUAUUUGCCCAGGCUGGUCUUGAACUCCUGAGCUCAAGUGUGAUCCUCCCAUCCCAGCAUCCCAAAGUGCUGAGAUUACAGGUGUGAGCCACCACGCCCAGCUGUUGAGCCUCAUAAAUGGCUGAACAAUGUUGAACAAAGGAAGCUGGCCCCUUACAUUUAAACUCAUUUGUGCCAUAUAAAAACCCCUUGAGACAGGCACUAUAAUUAUCUUCAUUUUACAGGUGUAGAAUCAGAGGCCCAGAGAGCUUCAGUAACUUGUUCAAGGUCACACAGCUAGGGUGUAGGAGGCAGAGCCAGGAUUUGACUGGGUAAGUCUGGCUGCACUCACUAUACUUACUGCUUUUAAAUACACAGCAAGUGCCCAGUAACUAUAAUCACGGCGACUUCUAACAAGCAGGGGCUCUCACUCUGGGCCAGGCACCAUGCCAGCUCUCUCCACAUUACUUCAUCUAACUCGCACACCAGUCCUAUUUAGUAUUUUUAAAAUAUAUCUAUAUAAAAUAAUACACAUAAUAUAUAUUACACAUAUAUACAUACUAAAUUUUCUAUACCUCAUAAUAUUACCAGUGAGAAACACUAAUACAAGCCCCAUUUAACAGAGGAGUAAACUGAGGCUCAGAGCAUUGAAUAAUGGAUGCAAGGUCAUAGACUCAGCAAGAGGCAGAGCUGGGAUGGCUUGCAGAACUCGUGCUUAUAACUACUGACAUCAGCUGCCUCCUGCCAGCUGCUGCUAAGAGCAGCACCAGGACCACAGAACUCAACAACCUGUGCUUUAAUUAAAAUCACAAUGAGAUGCCACCACACACCUGAUUUUUUCCAGUCACUUCUAAUCGCUUUCACGUGGGCUGUUCUAAUCGUCUAGACAGGAGGUUUUUAAAUUCCAGUACACACACAUUGUACUGGAAUGGCUCAAAUAAAAAAAAACAAAAACAAAAAACAAAAACUAAUCCCAAGUGCUGGAGAGGAUGUGGAGCAACUGGAACUCCCAUCCAUCCAUGGUAGGAAUGUGAAAAGGUAUACUGCCACUUUGGAAAACAGUUUGACCAUUUCUUAAAAAGUUAAAUGUCCACUCCUAGGUAUUUGCCCAAGAGAAAUGAAAACCCAUGCUCAGGCAAAAAUCUGCAUGCAAAUAUUUAUAGCAACUUUAUUUGUAAUUGCCAAAAAUGAAAGCAAACAAAUGGUGAAUGAACAAACUGUGGUGCCUCCAUACAACGGAGUACUACUCAGCCAUGAAAAGGAAUCAGCUACUGAUGACACAACAGCACUGAUAAACCUCAAAGGCAUCAUGCAUUAUGCCGAGUGAAAGAAGCCAGACUCAAAGGCUAUUAUGAUUCCAUUUAUAUGACACUCUGGUAAUGGCAGAAAAGAAAGACAACACAAAACAGAUAGUGGUUGUCAGGGGCGAGAGAUGAAAGAGGGAUUGACCACAGAGGGGCAAAGAGGAAUUGAGGGUGAUGGAACAUUUGUUCAUCUUGAUUGCAGUAGAGGUUAUAUGGUUGUACACAUUUGUCAAAACUUGCCAAACUGUACACUAAAAUGGGUGCAUUUUACUGUAGGUAAACGAUACUCAAUACAAAACAUUAAAGAAAAUAUAACAAUAGGCCGGGCGUGGUGGCUCGCGCCUGUAAUCCCAGCACUUUGGGAGG
rnacentral:lncRNA from 1 species